rnacentral:rRNA from 1 species
GGAGUCUAGCAUGUGCGCGAGUCAUUGGGACAUCGCGAAUCCUAAAGGCGAAAUGAAAGUAAAGGCGAGCCUAGCGCCCGCCGAGGGAGGAUGGGUGACCGCAAAGGUCGCCUCGCACUCCCGGGGCGUCUCGUUCUUUCGCGUCCUCGGACGCGAAGAAGAGGCGCACCCAGAGCGUACACGCUGGGACCCGAAAGAUGGUGAACUAUGCCUGGUCAGGACGAAGUCAGGGGAAACCCUGAUGGAGGUCCGUAGCGAUUCUGACGUGCAAAUCGAUCGUCGGAACCGGGUAUAGGGGCGAAAGACUAAUCGAACCAUCUAGUAGCUGGUUCCCUCCGAAGUUUCCCUCAGGAUAGCUGGCGCUCGCUUUGCGAGUCUCAUCCGGUAAAGCGAAUGAUUAGAGGCAUUGGGGUCGAAACGGCCUCAACCUAUUCUCAAACUUUAAAUGGGUGAGAUCUCCGGCUUGCUUAACUACGAAGCCGCGAGAUUCACAAUCGGAUCAGAGUGCCAAGUGGGCCAUUUUUGGUAAGCAGAACUGGCGCUGUGGGAUGAACCAAACGCCGAGUUAAAGCGCCUAAAUCGUACGCUUAUGGGAUACCAUGAAAGGCGUUGGUAACUUAAGACAGCAGGACGGUGGCCAUGGAAGUC